AGGAAGAUGGCUUAGUGGUAGAGUGCUUGCCUUGCAUGCAUGAGGCCCUGGGUUUGAUUCCUCAUACUG
rnacentral:tRNA from 1 species